rnacentral:lncRNA from 1 species
UGUUUAUAAAAAUUAUAAAUUACUAAGACUUUCAAAAACAUUGCAUAAUGAAAAUUUGUUAUUAGCGAUUUAAAUUUUUGUUAUAAAAGAUACAAAUAAGUAGAACACAUCAUUUAACAAUAUAUCAAUAUUAAAAAUAUAAUCUUUAUCUAUGUAUAAAUUAGGUAAAUUUAAUUAUAUAAAAUAGAAAAACUGAUUGUUUCGAUUAAUAAAAUUUAUUUACGUAUUUACACCAAUUUAAUUAUAUAUGUAAUAGUUAUUGACUUUUUCAUUAUCCAAUAUUUUUAAAAUAUAUAAAAGAACAUACUAUACGUAAAAUAAUAUAUAUAUACAUGUUCACGCGUAAGGCGCGGAUCUUAAUCUAGUUACCU